GGAUGAUGCGUUCAAUUUGCGACCGACUCUGUGACGUGACCCAUGCCUGCUUUUCUGACC
rnacentral:snoRNA from 1 species